rnacentral:rRNA from 1 species
AAAUUUAGCAUAUCAAUAAGCGGAGGAAAAGAAACCAACCGGGAUUGCCCUAGUAACGGCGAGUGAAGCGGCAAGAGCUCAAAUUUGAAAGCUGGCUCCUUCGGGGUCCGCAUUGUAAUUUGCAGAGGAUGCUUCGGGAGCGGUCCCCAUCUAAGUGCCCUGGAACGGGCCGUCAUAGAGGGUGAGAAUCCCGUAUGGGAUGGGGUGCCCGCGCCCGUGUGAAGCUCCUUCGACGAGUCGAGUUGUUUGGGAAUGCAGCUCUAAUUGGGUGGUAAAUUUCAUCUAAAGCUAAAUAUUGGCCGGAGACCGAUAGCGCACAAGUAGAGUGAUCGAAAGAUGAAAAGCACUUUGAAAAGAGAGUUAAACAGCACGUGAAAUUGUUGAAAGGGAAGCGCUUGCGAUCAGACUCGCCCGCGGGGUUCAGCCGGCAUUCGUGCCGGUGUACUUCCCCGUGGGCGGGCCAGCGUCGGUUUGGGCGGCCGGUCAAAGGCCCCUGGAAUGUAACGCCUCUCGGGGCGUCUUAUAGCCAGGGGUGCCAUGCGGCCUGCCCGGACCGAGGAACGCGCUUCGGCUCGGACGCUGGCAUAAUGGUCGUAAGCGACCCGUCUUGAAACACGGACCAAGGAGUCUAACAUCUACGCGAGUGUUCGGGUGUCAAACCCGUGCGCGCAGUGAAAGCGAACGGAGGUGGGAACCCUCUGGGUGCACCAUCGACCGAUCCUGAUGUCUUCGGAUGGAUUUGAGUAAGAGCGUAGCUGUUGGGACCCGAAAGAUGGUGAACUAUGCCUGAAUAGGGCGAAGCCAGAGGAAACUCUGGUGGAGGCUCGCAGCGGUUCUGA